UACGGGAGGCAGCAGUGGGGAAUAUUGCACAAUGGGCGCAAGCCUGAUGCAGCCAUGCCGCGUGUAUGAAGAAGGCCUUCGGGUUGUAAAGUACUUUCAGUCGUGAGGAAGGUGUUAAGGUUAAUAACCUUAGCAAUUGACGUUAGCGACAGAAGAAGCACCGGCUAACUCCGUGCCAGCAGCCGCGGUAAUACGGAGGGUGCGAGCGUUAAUCGGAAUUACUGGGCGUAAAGGGCACGCAGGCGGUUAAUUAAGUUGGAUGUGAAAUCCCCGGGCUUAACCUGGGAAUGGCAUUCAAGACUGGUUAGCUAGAGUCUUGUAGAGGGGGUAGAAUUCCAUGUGUAGCGGUGAAAUGCGUAGAGAUGUGGAGGAAUACCGGUGGCGAAGGCGGCCCCUGGACAAAGACUGACGCUCAUGUGCGAAAGCGUGGGGAGCGAAACAGGGAUUAGAUAC
rnacentral:rRNA from 1 species